UGCAAGUGGAACUAGUUGAACCAUCCCACUCAUGGUUAUCACUGUUUUGAGCUCCAUAUUAGUUUAAUCAGGUGUCUUGGAAAAUCCUAAUUGUGGAAAAGAGGUUAAGGAAGAUUCAGUCUAAAACUUUUGGCUGCUCAGCAUGCAGUGAGCUAAUUCUGUUGUCAUCAUGAUUAUCGCUGAGUUGAGCUUCACUCAAUCCUAGUAGUGAAAAUGAAGUGAAGGAAAAUGUGGUUGCACUAGUCUAUGCAUUCAAAUGGUAUUAGCAGUGGCUGUACUUGAUGUUGAGAUACGUUUUAAGUUGGGGACAAGGCUUGCAGAAUGUUAUAAACAGAAGAAGCUGCAAUGCUGCUUCAACUCAUGAGAAACAUAAUAAAUGAUUCAAGAAAAUUAAUUUAUAGGGUCCAUGCUUUAUAUUCCUCAUUUCCCCCCUUUGUUUAAAUAAAUACAUCCUUUCACAAGAAGUUUAGUUAAACCCAACAAACUAGCUUAUAAAGUACAAAGGUCAUACGAAAUUUAUACUUCCUUACAAGAGAUUUUUUUUCAUUUUCUGUCUUCAAAUUAUCUUUCUGUACAAUGUAUUUCAUUCUUUUCAUGCAUGGUUCUUUUGUUUGCUUCUAUAUUGCUUUUUGUGCUAUGCUGUUUAUAUGUUCAAUUUUUA
rnacentral:misc_RNA from 1 species